rnacentral:tRNA from 1 species
UGGGGAACUAGCUCAGUUGGUAGAGUGCUUGCCUUACAUGUAAAAAGCUCUGGCUUCUAUCCCCAGUAUUGCAA